AUAAAGUUUUAUUCUAGUUUUUUUGUUAAAUAAAUUUAUUUAAUUAUAUGAAAAUUUUAGUAUGUUUUUAUAGCUUUUUAAAUAGGAGUUAUUGAAUUAUAAAGCCUCAGUAAUUAAUUUUAAAUAUAAAAGAAAUUUUGAUUUAGAAAUAAAUUUUAGUAUUAUCUAAGUUUGUGCCAGCAGUUGCGGUUAGACAAACAAUGCAAUUUAAUAUCUUUAGUAUUAAUUAAUUUAAAUUAUAUGCAAACUUUAAUUGUAAGUUUAUAGGGUGAAAUCCUAAACUUAUUAAAAAGUUAUAAAUUAUAAAUGAAGUUGAGACAUCUACGGUUUAGACUAGGAUUAGAUACCCUAUUAUUGUAGACGUGAAGUUAUAAUACUAAAUUAGUAAAAGUUAUGCCCUUAAAAAUUAAAGAAUCUGGCGGUAUUUUAGUCUACUCAGAGGAACCUGUCCUAUAAUUGAUGAUCCACGAUUAAUAGUACCAAUAUUUUUAAUUUGUAUAUCGUCGUAGUUUAAAUAUUUUAGGAGAAUCACAAUAUUUAAAAUUUUUUAUAAAGAAAGGAAAUCAGAUCAAGAUGCAGUUUAUAUAUUGGUAGAGAUGGGUUACAAUAAAUUUAUUUGUGGAGAGGUAGUUGAAAACUACUUUAAAAUUGGAUUUGAAGGUAAUUUUNAKAGNUAGUUGAAAACUACUUUAAAAUUGGAUUUGAAGGUAAUUUUAUAAAUAUAUGUAAAGUGAUUACGGCUCUAAAAUAUGUACAUAUCGCCCGUCGCUUUCAUUCCAAAGUGAAAUAAGUCGUAACAGAGUAGCCUUACUGGAAAGUGAGGCUAGACAGGC
rnacentral:ncRNA from 1 species